rnacentral:lncRNA from 1 species
AUAAUCUACGUUAUUAGAACUAUCUAGAAACCAAAUUUCAUAAUUUUUCGACAUCAUUUACCAAGCGAUCAAAGGAUUUCAAAAAUGACUAUUUUAAUGGCCGAUGUGGCACAUUUUUAAGUUCAACGGUGUAGAAGUAUCCAAAUUAUAUGAAACUUUAAUAAAAAAUUCUACUUAACAUCAAGAGCAAGAACAAUACUUCCAAUUUGAAAUUUGAAUCAUUUAUCACUAUUUUUUAUGAGAUUUUUAUUUUCAGCCGUUCAUUUUGAGCCUACUAGUUCACUGGGCAAACGAAGUCAAAAAAUUAUAAAAUUUGGUUUCUAGAUAGUUCCAAUAGCGUAGAUCAUGUUUAACGGAACCGAUCGCUAAAUCGGACGUCCCAUCAUUGAAAACAACUUACAAGCACCGGAGCCUCCGUACUUUCGAAAGCAUAGGAGCCUAGCUAUAUAUAUAUAUAUAUAUAGAGAGAGAGAGAGAGAGAGAGAGAGAGAGAGAGAGUCCGGCUACUAUGCUAUUAAUAGCACGAAGCACUUGGUGCUACCAAAUUUUCCGCCGUUAGAUCUAUUCUUUUGAUCAUUUUUAUCCGUUAAAUCAUACUAUUCAAUCAACCACCCACUCAACCCUAGGGGAUCCAUAUCAUUCUAACCGCACAUCUCUUAAUCCAAUGGCCAAAAACUUGGUAGCAUCAAUGUCUUGGUGCUAUUAAUAGCAUUUGGUUCAGGUUAAAAAGCAAACGUGCAUAUAAACUGAACUGAAUCGAACCACACAGCGUAGAACCAAACACCCACCUAUGCUUCCAAAUAAAGCACCCAUUUCCAAUCUCACGAUUCGCAAGUUCCCUUCAUUAACAAAAGUUCAAAUUACAAGCAGUUAUCAAUAACAACUUAUCCCAAUCCCUAGAACAAGUGGCAAAGGAUUUGAUAGUUGGUAUCCGAAACCCAAAAUUCGAAUCCUAGUUGAUUCACAUUUACAGCUAAAUUUAUUUCUAAAUAAAAUAAACGAAGUGGGUAGUAUGGUACCUAUCUCUCAAAAAAAAAAAAAAACCUUAUCCCA